AUUGAACGCUGGCGGCAGGCCUAACACAUGCAAGUCGAGCGGAUGAGUGGAGCUUGCUCCAUGAUUCAGCGGCGGACGGGUGAGUAAUGCCUAGGAAUCUGCCUGGUAGUGGGGGACAACGUUUCGAAAGGAACGCUAAUACCGCAUACGUCCUACGGGAGAAAGCAGGGGACCUUCGGGCCUUGCGCUGUCAGAUGAGCCUAGGUCGGAUUAGCUAGUAGGUGAGGUAAUGGCUCACCUAGGCGACGAUCCGUAACUGGUCUGAGAGGAUGAUCAGUAACACUGGAACGGAGACACGGUCCAGACUCCUACGGGAGGCAGCAGUGGGGAAUAUUGGACAAUGGGCGAAAGCCUGAUCCAGCCAUGCCGCGUGUGUGAAGAAGGUCUUCGGAUUGUAAAGCACUUUAAGUUGGGAGGAAGGGCAGUAAGUUAAUACCUUGCUGUUUUGACGUUACCAACAGAAUAAGCACCGGCUAACUUCGUGCCAGCCGCCGCCGUAAUAC
rnacentral:rRNA from 1 species